GCUCCCAUAGUUUAAUGGAUAGAAUGAAGGAUUCCGGUUCCUUUGGUUGCGGUUCGAUUCCGCAUGGGAGUA
rnacentral:tRNA from 1 species